rnacentral:ncRNA from 1 species
AGAGGUAUGCAGUAAUAACUUAUAGAGUGCUUUGGUGUUCCCUCGGAGUAUCCGGGGCUUGAGCCAAAGAAUACCACCCUAUAAGACGCUACUUCU